CUUAACAUAUACCUGUGUUUAUUAUACUGAACACAAAUUUUACUUUUUGUUAUUAAAGCAUUUUUUAUUCCUAUCGUAUGUAAAUGUGAGCUUGUAUGAACACAUUAUUUUUAAAAAAGGUUGGACAUGUUCACUCUAUUAUAUUUUCGGCAAGAUAAAUAGUAAUGUAGAUUCAUUCAAAUAAUAAAUGAACCAUGUCAAUUGUUAGACACCUUAUUUAUAUAGGUUAGUUAUUUUUAGUUAUUUAGCGACGCACCAUAGUAGACGCAUAUUGAACGGGACUAGUGACGUUUGGGAUAUGUUGGGUUAGAGACCGGAAAAUCAGUUAGCGAUAGAACACUCCAGGGUAACGACGUGUUUAGUGACAGAGACUUCUACUGUGGCCUCUUAUCAUAAUAAAUAUAUAUUAACUUGUUCAUCAUCGUUGACUACAUCUCUUCACCUGUUACAAUCGAUGUGCCAGUUCUUGUUUGUGUUGUUGGUCAACUACACGUAAUACACCCGAACAAUUACACCCAAACGAUUGCAGAGUAAUUGGUUGACUUCAAGACAGCCUGAACUAGCAACAUCACAGUGGUGGAAUCUGUUAGACACCUUAUUUAUAUAGGUUAGUUAUUUUUAGUUAUUUAGCGACGCACCAUAGUAGACGCAUAUUGAACGGGACUAGUGACGUUUGGGAUAUGUUGGGUUAGAGACCGGAAAAUCAGUUAGCGAUAGAACACUCCAGGGUAACGACGUGUUUAGUGACAGAGACUUCUACUGUGGCCUCUUAGCAUAAUAAAUAUAAAUUAACUUGUUCAUCAUCGUUGACUACAUCUCUUCACCUGUUACAAUCGAUGUGCCAGUUCUUGUUUGUGUUGUUGGUCAACUACACGUAAUACACCCGAACAAUUACACCCAAACGAUUGCAGAGUAAUUGGUUGACUUCAAGACAGCCUGAACUAGCAACAUCACAGUGGCGACCCCGAACCUCGAAGCCGAACCUCGACCCCGAACCUCGAAGCCGGACCCCUGUUGAAGACGAACAUCGAACCGGACCUCGAAGCAGAACGUUUACUCAGGUGAGGGUCGUGCACUCGAAGUUAUAAGAUUUCAUCGGAGUACGGCUGAACACAGCAGCAUCGCAGAGUGACUUUGUUCUAGAUCUACAUACAGUCGUCGCCUGUUUGAUCGCACGUUCAACGAGCCGUUAACUCAGGGUGACCUUCGUCAGGGCAGUAAUCAUCGCAACGUCUGGUCUACUUAACCAGUAUAUUAUCAAAGCCUGAUCUUCAUAUGCUGAAUCGACCUACAACCAGAGAAACCGUUCGUUCAUAACGGGUGAGAGAUCGUUAGUGAACCUGUUGGACAUAUUUUUUUUCUUCGUCAUAGGAGCCACAUUGAGUAUCAAGUUUUACCUCGUCAGUUUCGAGAAGGACAGUUUGCCCGCUGUCAGAAGUAUUGUGAGUACUACAAGUUUGGUAGCUAACUAAAUCGAAAUCGCUCUGUCGUCUUACCCUUGGAGAGAUUCUUGUGGAGCAGUUUGCUCAUCGAACCGGUUGCUUGCCACGUUAAUAACGGUCACUGUGUUUAACCUUUGGAAGGUUAGUGAAGUAAUCUUUAUCAGUACUGAACAUUGAUAUAUCUAGUAUUCGUUGGUCUAGACGAUAUCUAGACGUGCUGAUAGUGAAGUUGUGGAAACAGCUACACCCACUUAAUUUCGUUGAAAACCGUUAAUCGUGUAACGGAACGUCGUCGGAGGUGACCUUGGUCUCACCUAGUCUACAUUGGACAGUUUGGUCUAUUGAAGCAGAGUACAACAGCAAACUUCGUCGUACUACCAGAGUAGCAGCAGAAGCAGUGAACUAUUUUAGAGAACCGUUAUUCGUCAGCCCAGAUCAAGUCAUCGUCAAGAAAGUCGUUAUUCGUCAGCCCAGAUCAAGUCAUCGUCAAGAAAGCCGUUAUUCGUCAGCCCAGAUCAAGUCAUCGUCAAGAAAUUCGUUAUUCGUCAGUCGUCCAGAUCAAGUUGCCGUCAAGAGACUGUUGUUUGUCAGUAGUCGUCUACACAGGUCAAGUCAUCGCCAGAAGAACCGUUAACCUAUUCGUCAGUAACUGUGUACACAAAGUCGUCGGAACUACACAUACGGUCAUCAACAGUCGUCAAAGAAACUGGAACAUUUUGCUGUGACAUAUCAGGACAUCUGUGGCAUUACGUGGGAUACUGGUAGCACCGGAGAACAGAGUCAGAACUGGAAGAGAGGCAGUGGAAUUUGUUGUGAUCUAGCAUAUUCGGGAGUCCGAACAAAGGGAUCUUUCUUAUCAAAAGCUAAGUGCCAUUUUUCUUAUUAGUAUAUGUUUAGAUUGCCCUUAGAAAUAGAUUUUGUCUAAAUUUGGUACGUUAGCCUGAGUAAAAUCAGGUGGUGCGCCUUAAAACCCGUCGGGGUAGAAGACGUAAUUUAGAUGAAAAGCUAUAUUAUACAUUUAGGGUUGUAAUUUGUUUUGUUUGUGUAAACGUCAUAUCCGUUGUUGCCUGGUUACUUCGUGACGUUAUCAUUGUGUGCCAUAUUGUCACAUCCCAACCCAUAGUGAUAGUCUCAUUUAAUUAUUUCAUUUGUUUAUAUUAUUUUAAAUUAUUUAUUUUUAUUAAUUUAAUUAGAUCUGUAUUUUUUUUUCACUUAAUGAUAGAAAGUGCGGGUAGGAUUCUUUUACUGUGAAUCAGACUAAAAUAAUUUUAGUUUGAGCGGUUAAAAUCAAUUAUGAUUUUGCCAUGAGAAUAAUGCCGAAACUGGCUAUGUAGUCAAACACUGUCGUCUGGCUAAAUUUAGAUCUGCAAAUUGUUGUACAUCUCUUUGGUACAAUUUAAUUAUCUAGACUCUACUUUGAAAUAUUAUUAAGUUGAAGAUGAAUGAAGAUUACUGCCAGUGAAGAACAUUUGAGAUGUGUAGGACAUGCCCAUAAGAUGCCACAUUUUCCUCCAUGAUGAACGGUGUACCAAUGAAGAUGAUUUUGGAAUGUUAUGAACUGUUAUGAACAUUGAAUAUGAGGAACUGUCAAGAUGAAGAUGUCAAGAUGAAGAUGUCAAGAUUUUAUGUUUGUGGUCUUCCCCUUAAAUUGAAAAUGCCCUUGUAAGACUUGACAGUAGUGGAAAAAUAUUGACAUAUUUUUUUUUCAAGGGGGGGAGGAAUCUGUUAGACACCUUAUUUAUAUAGGUUAGUUAUUUUUAGUUAUUUAGCGACGCACCAUAGUAGACGCAUAUUGAACGGGACUAGUGACGUUUGGGAUAUGUUGGGUUAGAGACCGGAAAAUCAGUUAGCGAUAGAACACUCCAGGGUAACGACGUGUUUAGUGACAGAGACUUCUACUGUGGCCUCUUAUCAUAAUAAAUAUAUAUUAACUUGUU